AUUGAACGCUGGCGGCAGGCCUAACACAUGCAAGUCGAGCGGAUGAGAGGAGCUUGCUUCUCGAUUCAGCGGCGGACGGGUGAGUAAUGCCUAGGAAUCUGCCUGGUAGUGGGGGACAACGUUUCGAAAGGAACGCUAAUACCGCAUACGUCCUACGGGAGAAAGCAGGGGACCUUCGGGCCUUGCGCUAUCAGAUGAGCCUAGGUCGGAUUAGCUAGUUGGUGAGGUAAUGGCUCACCAAGGCGACGAUCCGUAACUGGUCUGAGAGGAUGAUCAGUCACACUGGAACUGAGACACGGUCCAGACUCCUACGGGAGGCAGCAGUGGGGAAUAUUGGACAAUGGGCGAAAGCCUGAUCCAGCCAUGCCGCGUGUGUGAAGAAGGUCUUCGGAUUGUAAAGCACUUUAAGUAGGGAGGAAGGGUUGUAGAUUAAUACUCUGCAAUUUUGACGUUACCGACAGGAUAAGCACCGGCUAACUCUGUGCCAGCAGCCGCCGUAAAAC
rnacentral:rRNA from 1 species